GAAAUCUGAAGAAAAAUGGCCGCCCGGUCUUCGUAUAUAAAUUUUGGAGUUUGGUUGAAGAAAAACAUGGAUAAAUAAAAACAAAAUAAUUCAGAAAUCAGUGUAGAUAUGGCACAGUGUUCUCAAACUGCUUUCGAGUUUAUACAAGGCGCGUAUGGGCCGAUGAUAGCCGUAUUGUGUACAGAGGAUGCUGAGAUUGUCUGCCAGAAAAAUAACCUGAAUUUUGUAGAGCUUAUUCGUCCUUUCUCACAGUUAACAAGCGAAGGUAAUAGAG